UGCCGAUGCCUCAAACCAGGAUGAGUUUGAGAAUCCACAGAGACUCAGCAUCCGGCAGAAGAAGAGGAAAGGAAGUGAGAAAACACAAAGAGAAUGGAGAUCCCCAUGCUCUCAGCCACGGAAUGAUGAUUAUGGGAGCCGAUGCAUGUGUUAAUUAGGGAAAGGCAAGGGCCUUCCUAGGAAGGGUGGAUUCGGGCAUUACCUGGAAGUCGGUCUGCCCCCGGAACAGACAGAAAUAAGCCUUACUCAGGUCAGACUGC